rnacentral:rRNA from 1 species
AGUUGGUGGAGUGAUUUGUCUGGUUAAUUCCGUUAACGAACGAGACCUCCGCCUGCUAAAUAGUUGCAAGUAUGUGUUUUUGCAUAUUUGUAUUACUUCUUAGAGGGACUUUUGGCGAUUAGCCAAAGGAAGUUGGAGGCAAUAACAGGU